AAGGUCAUUAACCAAAGGUUUAACGGCGGGGUACAUCCGCGAGGAUCAAUUACAAGUGAGGGCGUACCGAACGCUGGAAACAGCGGUUAGGAGCUUACACCCACCCGCGUUUACAUACUAUUGUUGCUUUGGUGGGCCGUGGCCUCUACUGCGGGCUCUGCUCGUGUGUGCCCGCCAGAGGACCAAACUCUGAAUGUUAGUGAUGUCUGAGUACUAUCUAAUAGUUAAAA
rnacentral:misc_RNA from 1 species